CAGUAGCCGCGGGAAUACGAAGGGGGCUAGCGUUACUCGGAAUUACUGGGGGUAAAGCGUGCGUAGGUGGUGGUUUAAGUCCGUUGUGAAAGCCCUGGGCUCAACCUGGGAAUUGCAGUGGAUACUGGGUCACUAGAGUGUGGUAGAGGAUAGUGGAAUUUCCGGUGUAGCAGUGAAAUGCGUAGAGAUCGGAAGGAACAUCUAUGGCGAAGGCGACUAUCUGGGCCAACACUGACACUGAGGCACGAAAGCGUGGGGAGCAAACAGGAUUAGAUACCCGCGUAGUCCCUGUCUCUUAUAC
rnacentral:rRNA from 1 species